UACAGAGGUCCCGAGCGUUGUUCGGAUUCACUGGGCGUAAAGGGUGCGCAGGUGGGUUGGCAAGUUUGAUGUGAAAGCCCCGGGCUUAACCCGGGAAAGGCAUUGAAUACUGCUGAUCUGGAGGAUCGGAGGGGGGACUGGAAUUCUUGGUGUAGCAGUGAAAUGCGUAGAUAUCAAGAGGAACACCAGUGGCGAAGGCGAGUCCCUGGACGAUACCUGAUACUGAGGCACGAAAGCCAAGGGAGCAAACAGG
rnacentral:rRNA from 1 species